rnacentral:sRNA from 1 species
CUAUUACAUCACAAGAGUGAUGUUAAAACUUCUCAUUUUCAUUAUAAGUAUUCUGUAGCUGGAUUACUCUGUAAACAUUUCAAUAGGAAAUUUUGAAAAAAAUUGAAUUGAUUGGACAAUUUGUGUGAUUUCAAAGGUUGAUGCUCGUGUAUUCUCAUCCUAACAUGUAUGGUAAUCAUUUUGUAGAUGCAUUGAAUAGCAUAUGAUCAUCCUUUACAUUUGUUAUGAAGUAGUGAAGAUUGCGCGUUGACUAUAUCUAUUUUGAUGUUAUUUGUUUCCAUGCUUUCAAUGCUUUGCAAUUUUGUUCAUACUUCAUUUAGUGCGUGUGAAUAUUCCUUGGUUUUUUUUUUCACUAUUUUAAUAUUCAUGUCCAUACGUAAUGUAAUGCAUAAUUCAUACAUAAUGUAGAUGAUUAUUAUAUUGCUUAGAUUGAAGCUUAAAAAUUAUAUUUCAUUGUAAAUGUGUAGAUUUAUAUGAUUGCAAACUUCCAAGGGUCCAAGAAACAGUAAUGAUGAUAUUUUUGUGUGAUGGGAUCGUGUUUAGUUGCACUGCAAUUUAAAAAUAUGAUUUUGCAUUGUAGAUAUUCACUGUACAAUAGUUUAUCAAAUGUUUCUGUAUAAAUUGUAUAAAGCUUUUUGAAUGUAGUGAAAAUAUAUGUAGCAAAAGUACAUUUAUUCACUCUGAAUAAAUCAUGUC